rnacentral:lncRNA from 1 species
GUGCUCUUCGGGUCUAGGCAGAAACAAACUUCUCUAUAACUUUGUCAAUAUUCACACUGAAAUCCCGAUGACUAUAUAUAUGCAGUAAUGCUAGUAACUGUCGUUGUUCAUUGUUGGUCGUACAUUUGUUUUCAACUUACGUAGUGCAAUGAUAGAUCUCCAUGGCAGCACUAGCGAGAUGUUAUAAACCAGCGUACGUGUUCGGCAUUUAGAGACC